rnacentral:rRNA from 1 species
UACGUAUGGAGCAAGCGUUAUCCGGAUUUACUGGGUGUAAAGGGAGAGUAGGUGGCAGAGCAAGUCCGAAGUGAAAACCCAAAGCUCAACUAUGGGAAUGCUUUAGAAACUGCUCAGCUAGAGUGCAGGAGAGGCAAGUGGAAUUCUUAGUGUAGCGGUGAAAUGCGUAGAUAUUAGGAGGAACACCAGUGGCGAAGGCGGCUUGCUGGACUGUAACUGACACUGAGGCUCGAAAGCGUGGGGAGCAAACAGG